AUUAAUGAGUAAUAUUUCCAUAGUUUUUGUGAUUAUUAUUUAAUCACCCUUCUCACACUUUAUUUUAAUUCUCUCUACCAUAUGUUAUAUGCCUAAAUUUUGCUAAGUAUAGAAUUGAGAGAGUAGAGAGUUGAGAGUAUAUUAUGGAGAGAGUAAGGAUUGAUAGUGUAGAGAUUAGAGAGAGAUUAGAGUGAGAGAGAGAUCAAAGGCAUUAAUUGCCAAUAUUCUUUAAGAUUUGCAAAAUCUCUAUAAGAUCAUCUAAAUCUUGCAAAUCCAUUCAUAUCUCUCAAGCAACUCUCUCUCUCCUUCAUCCUCACCAAUCGGCCACCUCUCUCUCUCCUUUCUCUCUCAUAAUUCCUCCAUUGUCAACCAUUGGAGAGACCUCCGAAGCUUCACCAAAAUAUGCCAAACACAUAAAUCACCAACAAAAUUCCACCUAAACACCUCCUAUCAACUUGAAUCCAAGGAAAUCCUUGAAGAUUGGCUUCAAGACUAGUGAGAGAAAGUUUGUUUGUUGGUGAAAAACUUGAACACGAGCAGAGCAGGGAAGUAAGUAACUCCGCUUUGACGGGAGUUUUUGAGUAAGGUCUUCAGGCUAAGCGAGGAGCGAGAUUGGUCUGGUGCUGGCGGGGAAUUGUUAGAGGAUGUAUUUACUUUAUCGUAUUUCUAUUUUGACGAUAAAGUCUUGUUGAUUGAUAUACUUUGAUUUUCUUUUGAAUUUAAGCAAUGUACUCACGGUUAUAUGUCUUCAUACAUAUAAUCGGUUCACCUUUUGCUGCGAUACUCUGCAUAUUGUGAUUCCUUACGAAAAAUGAGCGAUACCCGU